AUAUUACUGCAAUUUGUUUGCCUCAAAAUGCCUAGUGUUGGGACCUGUUUCAAUGGCUGACAAUUGAUUCAAAACUGAAAGUUCAAAGUUUUCACCGCAGUUAAGAUUCAAUGUCAACAUGGUUAUUAGCCUGAACAGAAGACUAUACCCUUCAACAAGUAAGAAGAAAAGGGUUGUUUUGGAGGUUUAAAGCUGGAUUUGUUUACCCAGAAAACUUAGGCAGUGCAAUUGACAAUGUAAAAUUGGCAUUAUCUGUCUGGUGUCAUACCAACUAAUUAUUGACACAAUUUUGCAGCUGGAACCAAUUCUCAUUGAAACUGUUGGUAAAUUGAAUACGAACUUACACCA